GGAUGUCUUCCUGGAGAUUGCUCUUUGUGGAGUUUUUGUGAGCCUGCAACAUUGACUGAAAAAGGCCUGAAAAUCACUGAUGCUGGCCAGUGCGCUACUUCUCUGGUGGACAUCUGUGACCCAGCAUCUUGGACAGUGAGGAAGGAGAACCAAAAGGAAGGGAGAAGCUGUGCCAGCACAAAUUAUAUGCGAAGGACUGGCUGCUGUGGGCAAAAGCAAUACCCUGCCUACCUUUUUAUAGAAUUCCUACUGCAUUGUUAGCUCCCACAUACACAUGUACAUAUUUAUUGCUAUUCCCUUACAAAGAUUACUAUCACAUAUCUCUGUAAAAUCUGAACAGGUACAUAAUCAAAUUGUGAAUGUUCUUUUUCAUACUUAUCAUUAUACCAAAAAACAGUGUUACUAGCAUCUGUUUUAUAGGCUUCAUUGUGGGCUGCAGAGAUGAAUGUUACUGGCUCUCUCUAAGCUGUAAAUACAACUGUUCUCAAGAAAGAUGCAAGUCAUAGUAACUGGCGUGUUCUCUACACAUACAAUAGAAAUAUUGUAUAAUUUUUGAGAUUCUAUCCAUUUUGUUUGAAGAUCAGUGAAACUCAAAGUUUGUAUAGUAUUUUCAUCAGCAGUAGAAAUCACUGUGUUUACAAAUCAUUUUCUUGCAUUAUGGCAAUCAGAAUCUGUUAAAUCUUUUAUAUCUAAAGAAAUGUAUGCAUCACUUCAUGUGGUUCUGAAAGA